AACAAGACAUGUAAGUUUAAACUUUAAAUUUUCAGAUGGUAUAAUUAUUGGUGAUUAUUAAUGACAACUACAGUUUUAGGUUUACAAGAAAAAAUAGCAAUCAGGCCCUCCAGAUUUAAAUGCCCAUAAUUAUCCCUUCUUAAUUUAUUUUUUUUAUGCAUAAGCAUAUUGUUUCCACACACAUUUAUGAAUUAUGACCUAUAGACAAUUUAUGCUGAAAUGAUUAUGAGAAGUUAAAAUAAUGAAUCACAUUAACCAUUUAAUAACCUUCACAAGAGAAUCACUCUGGGACAGUGUGAAUAGUCUUGUAAAACUUUUAGCUUUGUUAAACAAAGUCUUAUUUAGUAUGAG
rnacentral:misc_RNA from 1 species